AUACGUACCUUGUGUCGGGUUGACGCUGAUCAAGUAGGGCGCACCCAGAGACGAGGCCUUGCGCUGACUCUCGCCACUGUCCCAAAUCGGGGGCAGUGGGGCACUGAAUUUUUGGUAACGGGGGAACGGGGUCCCCUG
rnacentral:snRNA from 1 species